rnacentral:rRNA from 1 species
GACGAACGCUGGCGGCGUGCUUAACACAUGCAAGUCGAACGGAAAGGCCUGCUUUCCCUUGUGGAUUGCGGGUACUCGAGUGGCGAACGGGUGAGUAACACGUGAGUGAUCUGCCCCCAACUUGGGUAUAAGCCUGGGAAACUGGGUCUAAUUCCCGAUAGGACUGCAGGGUGGUGCCUGUGGUGGAAAACGAUUUUCUAGUGGUUGGGGAUGAGCUCGCGGCCUAUCAGCUUGUUGGUGGGGUAAUGGCCUACCAAGGCGGCGACGGGUAGCCGGCCUGGGAGGGUGGACGGCCACAUUGGGACUGAGAUACGGCCCAGACGCCGACGGGAGGCAGCAGUGGGGAAUAUUGCACAAUGGGCGGAAGCCUGAUGCAGCGACGCCGCGUGGGGGAUGACGGCCUUCGGGUGGUAAACUCCUUUCGACCGCGAGGAAGCCACCUGGUUGGAAGGGUGGUGACGGUAGUGGUAGAAGAAGCACCGGCUAACUACGUG